rnacentral:snRNA from 1 species
AGGUGUAAGGGUAAUCUGGUUGUAUUGUCUGUCACUCUACUGAUCACCAGGGUUGAUUCAGCUGAUCUGACUUGGCUGGCUGGGUGGAUCCCCUUCCUCCCUUGCUGCUCCAUGUGCACCCUCCCCACACUGCACGUGCAAUCAAAGAGGACCACCUUCCCCACUAGAGAAGAGCCGUUCCUCAGUCAAGGGUAUACAAAUGGCUGUACUGGAACCUCCAAACAAGCUCUUGAGGUCCAUGUGCAGCACAACAUAGGGCAGUCAAAUUUCCGGACUCCAGACAAUUCCAAAUGAGAUGCUGCAUGUGGCAGGCUGCCUUUCUUA